CCCCGCGCCUCCCUCCCGCAGUUGCGGCUGCACAGUUCGUGUGGGAAUUUGGCACAAGUAGAGGGGGGCUAGGCUCAUAGUGGGAUUGUUUGCAAUAGGGAAGGAGGUAGCUGAGACAGUUCGGAAUUUUGCUUUCUCUCAGUCCCUCAGUGUACUCUCCCUCCUAGUGCACUGAGAAAUUUAGCGUGAAUAAGUCCUUUUACCACUGGCCGCCGGUGCCAGACCUAUGCCGUUGGAGGAGGACAGGUGAAAUAACCUUAAAUUGCCAGGCAAAGGAAAGAAUGGCCCUCUAUUCCAGAGUACUUAGUCAGACAUCGUGGAGUCGACUGGGGGAAAAAGUGAAAAUCUCUUGAGUCGGCCACUCCCAUAUCACAGAUAGGAAGGCUGGUGUCGGCAGAGAAUUGGAGCCAUUCUCAAGGUCACAUGGCAUGACUAGAAUCCGUGAGUCAGGAAGGGUUACUUGGGUUAUAAGAAAAAAGCAAGAGCUGUGUGUGAGGAGGGGUACGUUGCUUGGUGUUAGAGCGCAUGCCUAGCAGCUAGAGAGGCUCUGGGUUCAACACUAGCCAGCAUGGCAGAGGAAAGAAGGAAUAGGUUAGAUUAAGGACUUCUAGGUCAACUCACUUUACCUGUCCUGAACUAGUUGGACAAACUCAACCUCAUCUGACAAUGACAAUGUUCGCUCUCAGCAGGGUCCCAUCAGGCACCUUCGUGCUCUGCCCAGAUCACCCAAGGAGUGUCAGGCUCACUUUGGGUUGCUUGGAAUAGUGGAAAACCUUCUUCCUCGUUCUUCAGCACUAUUUUUGAGCCACAGAUCCAGACACAGACACAGUGUGAGCCGGAUCUUCCCCUUCCCCCACUUAAUUCAGGACUUGCAGUCCCAGAUAGCUGUUCUCAGAAACUCAGUUCAGUCAAAAAAGGAAGGUCAGGGACACCAGACUAGACCAGGAUGACUUACCAGAUAACCUACUGGCUCUGUGACCAGAAGACGGACUCGGACCCAGGGGUUUUACAUUGAGUUAACCCACAUGCUAACAGUGGUGUCGGAGUUGAGAGCUGUGUAUAAAAAUUAGAAAGCCUACUAUUUCUGGUUUCCUUGAAGCCAUUUGCCACUGGUGUCCUCAUUCAGAUCAAGGAAGGCCCAGGGCAAGGGAACAGUGGAUGGGAACCCAGAGUCCUGACCUCCACUGAGACACAACCACUAGAGGUAGGGAGAUGGCCCCAUUCUCAGCCUCACCACUGAGCAUUGCUGCAGUCCUCCAGCUUUUGUCCCUUCCUUACAAGAUGGGGGUUUAAAGCAUCUUUGCAGACGUGUUGUACAAACUGGAAUUUCUCCAGACCUGGCACACAGUCAAUGCUCAAUAAACAUUCAUUGAUUCCUUCAUUGAUAAAAUAUUUGCUGCCACCCUACUUUAUGUGAAGCUUACACCAAACACUAGGAUGUGGAAGUGAGCAAGGCAGAAUCACCCAGAGUUCCAGACUAUUGCGUGGAAAAGAUAGGGUAACAGCACCUGCCCAGAUGUCUCGCGUGCAAUGGGUGCCUGACCAAGGUUUUCCAAAUUGUAGUCCUGGGCGCAGCUGCUCUGGCUCAGGGAUUAUCCUGCUUCACAUUCUUGGAAGAGAAUUUUUGCAUGUUAGAAGAUUUGGGAUCUCGCCUAGACCACUGAUCUGCUGUGCAUUCAAUGGAUACUGGAGCCCAUCUAGAACAUAAGUAAGAACCUGAAGACUCACAAGAGAUAAGUUACUUGCCUUUGUUAUGCUUCCAAGUUCACCCUGCAUAUGAUCAGCACUAACCCUUGGACUGGGAUUCCAGGGCGGAGGAAAAGGGGGAAGCAGGCCGAGCGCCAUCUUUAAUCUCUCCAUUUCCUGACUGCAGAUGGAGACUCAAACUAUCCAGAGACUCAUGAACUAUCCAGAGUCACUGAGCUGAUAAGAGAGAACCAGCCCUGAUAGGAACUGCUGUGCAGGCUAAAAUGAACUGUCAGCUGUAUAGAAUAUAUAAAGGGCUGAACCUGCAUGUAAGCCAAGGACUGCCAGUCAGGAUGCAGCACGGAAGGCUGAGUGACUGUCUAUGUGGGAGGCCGAAUGGCGCUUCCACCACUAGCUGCACUGUGAUUACAGCUCUGAAAAGCAGGUAUCAAGGAAUGGAACCAUCACGUGGAUGGAGGCAUGCUAGGUUGUCUUCGAGCUCAAUGUUCAGCCAACGAAAACCUUGAACUUCUGGAAGUUCUUCUACCUCCACUUCCCAACUGUUGGGAUUACGUGCAUGCACCAGCAUACAGAGUUUAUUCCAUUCAGGGAUUGCACCCAGGACCUCCUGCAUGCUAGUCAAGCACCCUACCUACUGUACUGAGCCACAGUCCAGUCCAGUGCAGUCCUUUGACUUGGGAAGAGAGGCAGUGUCUGACACUGGGAAAAUAGCUCUUGUUCUGUGAAUGAAUGCCCUUGACUUCC